rnacentral:rRNA from 1 species
AACGUACGCUGGCGGCACGCCUAAUACAUGCAAGUCGAACGAAGUAGCAAUACUUAGUGGCAGACGGGUGAGUAACAUGUAGGUAUCUUCCCUUUGGUGAGGAAUAACACGAGGAAACUUGUGCUAAUACCUCAUAAGUCUUUACGGAGAAAGCUUUAUGCGCCAAUGGAUGAGCCUGCACUUGAUUAGUUUGUUGGUGGGGUAAUGGCCUACCAAGACAAUGAUCAAUAGCUGAUUUGAGAGGAUGAUCAGCCACAUUGGGACUGAGACACGGCCCAAACUCCUACGGGAGGCAGCAGUAGGGAAUCUUGCACAAUGGGGGAAACCCUGAUGCAGCGAUGCCGCGUGAGUGAAGAGGGCCUUUGGGUUGUAAAGCUCUUUCGUCGGGGAAGAAAAUGACUGUACCCGAAUAAGAAGGUCCGGCUAACUUCGUGCCAGCAGCCGCGGUAAUACGAAGGGACCUAGCGUAGUUCGGAAUUACUGGGCUUAAAGAGUUCGUAGGUUGUUAAAAAAGUUGGUGGUGAAAUCCCAGAGCUUAACUCUGGAACUGCCAUCAAAACUUUUUAGCUAGAGUAUGAUAGAGGAAAGCAGAAUUUCUAGUGUAGAGGUGAAAUUCGUAGAUAUUAGAAAGAAUACCAAUUGCGAAGGCAGCUUUCUGGAUCAUUACUGACACUGAGGAACGAAAGCAUGGGUAGCGAAGAGGAUUAGAUACCCUCGUAGUCCAUGCCGUAAACGAUGUGUGUUAGACGUUGGAAAUUUAUUUUCAGUGUCGCAGCGAAAGCAAUAAACACACCGCCUGGGGAGUACGACCGCAAGGUUAAAACUCAAAUGAAUUGACGGGGACCCGCACAAGUAGUGGAGCAUGUGGUUUAAUUCGAAGAUACGCGCAGAACCUUACCAACACUUGACAUGUUCGUCGCGACUUUAAGAGAUUAAAGUUUUCGGUUCGGCCGGACGAAACACAGGUGCUGCAUGGCUGUCGUCAGCUCGUGUCGUGAGAUGUUGGGUUAAGUCCCGCAACGAGCGCAACCCUCACUUUUAGUUGCCAUCAUUAAGUUGGGCACUCUGAAAGAACUGCCAGUGAUAAGCUGGAGGAAGGUGGGGAUGACGUCAAGUCCUCAUGGCCCUUACGUGUUGGGCUACACACGUGCUACAAUGGCAUUUACAAUAGGAAGCAAAACGGCGACGUUAAGCAAAUCCUAAAAAAAUGCCUCAGUUCGGAUUGUACUCUGCAACUCGAGUACAUGAAGCUGGAAUUACUAGUAAUCGCGGAUCAGCGCGCCGCGGUGAAUACGUUCCCGGGUCUUGUACACACCGCCCGUCACACCAUGGGAGUUGGUUCUACCUUAAGGCAAGGUUUAAAACCCUUGACUACGGUAUAGUCAGCGACUGGGGUG